CAUUCGCAACGUGCUUCGCUAGUCCAUCUCUCCUUCCUGUGCCUUCGUUCUUCUUCUCCGUCUGUCUCAACCCUUUUGCGAGAGGAUUGGAUGUCAUUACAGCCAUGUCUGAGACGUAAAGACAGUUGUUAGCAUUGUCUUCUUCGCUUACGUUGAAGAUGGGAUGUCUUCAUCUUAGGUUGAUCUUGCCAUAAAUCUCCUUCUUCUCUUGCCCAAAAUAGCUUACCCUAAGGGCAGAAGUGAAAGAAGAUCGUCAUACUAAUCAGUUUAUUUUCACUUUAACAAAAAACAGACGUGAGAAAACGAGAAUACUAUAUGACCACAUGAGUUGUUCUUAGUUUUAUAUAAGACCUGGGAUACUCCAUGACCACACAAUGCACUUCAAUUCUGACAACGUGUUUUAUUUGUAGGUAGAAAUUGGUAAAUACUGUGUCGUAUUUGUGGGUAGAGUGCCGAGAAUAUAUGAUAACUGGGAGGAUGCUCGGGAAGAGGUUGAAAGAUUCAGCGGGUCCAGACACCGAUCGUUCAGAACACACGGUGAGGCUGUCACAGUGUGGACCACAUUCAAGGCCACUCUCCAGCAAGUUGGUUCGGGCAACACCUGUGGUGUACAUAACAAGGCGUCAUCAAGCAUGACAGAAAGAAUAUCGGAAAGAGUUGAAGGUGGUUCCGCUCCCUUUCAGCCACCGCCAAGCACUGACGAACAUCAAAAUAGAGUACAUGGAUCUGACGUCUCGAUAUCGGACAUGAAUCGAAAUACUGAUGACGAAGGGAUUUUGAACGACAUCAUCAAAAUUCUUAUUAGAGUCGUGCUUAUAUACGCAGUAGUUGCAUGGUUUUUUUCAAGUUUUUGAUGAUAUGGGAUCAUUAGGUGGGGUGUGGCCGAUAUGGUAAUUUGAAAUGAGUGGAGAAAGCUCAGUACCAGUGAGGCGUAUUCUUUUUAAGACUGUAAUUUUUUUUUGUUACACCCUCAAAACACUGGUCACCCCUUCUUUUUUUUUUUUCCUUUUCAUUUUAUGGCCAAAUCAUUUUUUUAUUUGUAUUUAUCGUAUUGUAUGUGUACUGUUAUUUCUGACUUUGUUUGUUUGCUUCAUUUAAACAUCAGUUCUUUAAUUUUUAGUAAUUUUUCAUUGGGUAAGUCUGUGAUGUGUCUAUGUGAAAGUAGAAUCUCAA